AUGCAGAGCAGAGUGCCCUGUCGGGGCCGCCGCACUGCUGGGCCUCGUGGGCGAGGGACGCUGCCCGCCACGGGUCGGGGUGCGGGCCGGGCCCCCGGCCCUCGGGGGCGUGGGGGAAGGCCUCCCUCCCCGCGGGAUCCGGGGCCACCCGGGCCUGCCCCGCGGCUCUGCCCAGCUCCCGGUCCGCCUCGGAGCCGCCGCGGAUGCGCUCUCCGCCGCUAUCCCGCGGCCCCGGCCCGGGCGCGACGGCCCCGGAACCCCAGGGGCGGCGCGGGCGGCGGGCGGGGUCCGGCCCGUUGCCGCCCGCCUGAUGUCAGCGGGGCGGGCCCGGCCGGGCGCGGCGGUGCGGCUCGGGCGCCUGUGCCUCCGCCCGAAGCGGCGGUGCCGGCCCUGCUCGCCGGCUCCCGGCUGAGACCAGGUAAAGCGGGCCGGGCCGGGCCGGGGCGGCGCCGUCGCCUCCCCCCGCCCGCGGCCGCUUCGCCCGUUGUGCUCCGCCGGGCGGAGACCGACCCGGGAAGCGGCCGGGGAAGCUCCGUGUGGUCCGCAGGGCGCACGGCGCCGGCGGGAGCCGCGGGGCACCUCCCGCGGCGGGCCUCCCCCCGCGGCGGGGUCCUGGGGACGCUGGGGCGGCGCGGGGCCCGGCCAAGCCCUCGGCCCGGCCUCGCCGCUGCGGGCCGCGGGCGCCGCGCGGGUCCCGUCCGGGCAGCUCCGGCGGCGGGGCGGCCGGCGGCGGCGGCGGCGGCUCGGGGCGGCUCGGGUCAGGGGGUGGGGGGUGGCGUACGGCGCGGCGGCCUGGCCGCCUCGCCGGCGGGGCGGAGCGGGUCUGCGGCCGCUCGUCGCGGGGCAGGAGCACGGCGCGGGCGCGACGCGCUGUGCUCGCGGCCGCCCGGCGGAGGCAGGCCGCAGGCGGCCUGGCGGGCUGCCGGCGGCGGCCGAGGUGUUCGAACGCGUCCCGCCGCCGUGAGGAUGGAUGCGGGCUCUCUGGCUCGCCGCGAGCAGGAGAGCUUGGGAGGCGCGGGCGCGGGCGGCUGCGUUGCGCUGCCGCUGCCCCGGAUCAGCUGCGGGCCCACGCAGGGACAGCUCUCGCGAAGCACGUGGCUCCCGGUGACCUUCAGCCGGUAG
rnacentral:lncRNA from 1 species